rnacentral:misc_RNA from 1 species
UCUUCUUCCUCCUCUCUCUUUCUUCAUUUUCUUUCAUCUUUUUGCUUCUUUUAAGUUUCAUAUAAAUUUUUACCAAUUUCAGGAGGAUCAUUUUGCUUUCUUUUGUCAGUUCGGCUCUAGCCUCCCUAGUGAGGUGUUUAUGGUUAAAAAGAGAAAUAAUGCUAGAUCUUGCAGCAUUUUGAAUCGAUCUACAUGACUUUCAAAUUAGCUUCAUAAUGGCUAGUAAAUCUUGAACAUCAAAAUGACUAAGAUCACUAGUUUAUAUAUGACUUCAGAAGUUUGAUUUGGCCUACCAAUAGAUCAACAAAGUUUUUGUAUACUCCACCUCACUUCAGACUUCAUCAGCAACCUCAGCCAGUCCACGUUCAACCUCGAUUCUAUCAAAGUUCCCUUGCAUAUUUUUAAGUGACUCACUGAUCAUAAAUCUAAUUUAUUUUUCUUCCUAAAGUUGUAUGAAGCUAAGUGUAUCUAACUGUAUUAGAAAAUAAUUUAUUUAAAAUUUUAAAUAUGCUAG